GAGACCUCCAGACGCGCGUAAACGCGUCUUUACAUUGACUUAACAUUGAAAUCAUUCGCGCCAGACGCUCUAUUCGCGUUUGGUGUGAACGCAGCAUUAUGGUUUAAAAAUCCAAAGUGGAAAUUUAAGAGACUAAAAUUGUGCAUGAACAAGUUUGGAUGUGUAUUAUACAAGAAAACAGGAACUACUACUGAAUCCAGUAUUCAAAUUUGGUGUCCAGUGACCCACUUCUAGAGAUACAGAAAUUUUACAUAUUUGCCCAAUAUAUUUUUUUAAUCUAGGAUGGAUGUUACGAAUAAGUUUAAACUAAAUGAAGAAAAUACUCGUAAUAAAUAACAGGGAUCCGAUCGAAAAUGAUCCCUCGAGUCCCUGCUGUCACUCCCAUGAGAGCAGGGAGGUGCGUGUUUAUAGUCUGGGAUGCUUAAAUACCACAGCAACCACUCAAGUCAGAUAGCUCCUCAUUAAUAGCACUAAUCGUGAACAAUUACAGCUAUACAGAGAGACGAGAGAAAGGGGGACAUGCAGAGGAAAAACUACACGCAGAAAUAUAUUCUUACCAACCCCAAACUUUUGAAUGAUAGUGUAAAUAUAAUGAGAUCAUUUGUAAUCUAAUUUAUAAUAUGUUUUAGUUCCUAAAGUGGCUUUCUCAGCCUCUCUGUUGACCUCUUUCAGACCACAAAGCAUUGGACCAUUUCGUAAUGGUUUACACACUCUGAUUUACAGAUAUGUCUUCCUCAAUACUGGAAAGGCCUAUGAUCCAAACACAGUAAUCUUUACAGCACCUGUGAGGGGAGCGUAUGCUUUCAGGGUCUUCUCCAAGGCUUUUGGGAGUCUAGAGAGAGCUGUUACCGCAGGCCUAUUUAAAAAUGGCCAGCAUAUCAUUUCUACACAUGGACACCAAAGCAAGUGGUUUUAUCAGCUCUUCAAAUGGAGUAUAUCUGGUGCUAGAAGGAGGGGAUAAAGUUUAGGUGAAUCUCUAUCCUGGACAAUGGAUUUUUGACAAUGGAGAACACCAUCACAGCACAUUCAGUGGACAUCUUUUCCUCAUGUGAACUUGCUGACCGUUUAUUCACCAAAAAAGCUUUUCAUACAUAAAGGAUGUACAAUCCUUUAAAAAAAUCAAUUUACUUAAUGCAUCUGAAUAUAUAAUCAAGUGGUUGCCAAAUUUAUAAAAUCAAAUCAAAUAUUCUUCAUAUCAUGGCUUUAA